ensembl:snRNA U6 U6 spliceosomal RNA
GUGUUCACUUCAGCAGCACAUAUACUAAAAUUGGAACGAAAGAGAAUAUUAGCAUGGUCCCUGAGCAAGAAUGACACUCAAAUUCGUGAAAUAUCCAUAUUUUUA